UACAUUUGAGUGAGUGGCGAACUGGUGAGUAACACGUGGGAAACCUGCCCAGAAGCGGGGGAUAACACCUGGAAACAGAUGCUAAUACCGCAUAACAACUUGGACCGCAUGGUCCGAGUUUGAAAGAUGGCUUCGGCUAUCACUUUUGGAUGGUCCCGCGGCGUAUUAGCUAGAUGGUGGGGUAACGGCUCACCAUGGCAAUGAUACGUAGCCGACCUGAGAGGGUAAUCGGCCACAUUGGGACUGAGACACGGCCCAAACUCCUACGGGAGGCAGCAGUAGGGAAUCUUCCACAAUGGACGAAAGUCUGAUGGAGCAACGCCGCGUGAGUGAAGAAGGGUUUCGGCUCGUAAAACUCUGUUGUUAAAGAAGAACAUAUCUGAGAGUAACUGUUCAGGUAUUGACGGUAUUUAACCAGAAAGCCACGGCUAACUACGUGCCAGCAGCCGCGGUAAUACGUAGGUGGCAAGCGUUGUCCGGAUUUAUUGGGCGUAAAGCGAGCGCAGGCGGUUUUUUAAGUCUGAUGUGAAAGCCUUCGGCUCAACCGAAGAAGUGCAUCGGAAACUGGGAAACUUGAGUGCAGAAGAGGACAGUGGAACUCCAUGUGUAGCGGUGAAAUGCGUAGAUAUAUGGAAGAACACCAGUGGCGAAGGCGGCUGUCUGGUCUGUAACUGACGCUGAGGCUCGAAAGUAUGGGUAGCAAACAGGAUUAGAUACCCUGGUAGUCCAUACCGUAAACGAUGAAUGCUAAGUGUUGGAGGGUUUCCGCCCUUCAGUGCUGCAGCUAACGCAUUAAGCAUUCCGCCUGGGGAGUACGGCCGCAAGGCUGAAACUCAAAGGAAUUGACGGGGGCCCGCACAAGCGGUGGAGCAUGUGGUUUAAUUCGAAGCUACGCGAAGAACCUUACCAGGUCUUGACAUACUAUGCAAAUCUAAGAGAUUAGACGUUCCCUUCGGGGACAUGGAUACAGGUGGUGCAUGGUUGUCGUCAGCUCGUGUCGUGAGAUGUUGGGUUAAGUCCCGCAACGAGCGCAACCCUUAUUAUCAGUUGCCAGCAUUAAGUUGGGCACUCUGGUGAGACUGCCGGUGACAAACCGGAGGAAGGUGGGGAUGACGUCAAAUCAUCAUGCCCCUUAUGACCUGGGCUACACACGUGCUACAAUGGAUGGUACAACGAGUUGCGAACUCGCGAGAGUAAGCUAAUCUCUUAAAGCCAUUCUCAGUUCGGAUUGUAGGCUGCAACUCGCCUACAUGAAGUCGGAAUCGCUAGUAAUCGCGGAUCAGCAUGCCGCGGUGAAUACGUUCCCGGGCCUUGUACACACCGCCCGUCACACCAUGAGAGUUUGUAAC
rnacentral:rRNA from 2 species